ACAAGGUCUCCGUUGGUGAACCAGCGGAGGGAUCAUUACCGAGUUUACAACUCCCAAACCCAAUGUGAACGUUACCAAACUGUUGCCUCGGCGGGGUCACGCCCCGGGUGCGUCGCAGCCCCGGAACCAGGCGCCCGCCGGAGGAACCAACCAAACUCUUUCUGUAGUCCCCUCGCGGACGUAUUUCUUUACAGCUCUGAGCAAAAAUUCAAAAUGAAUCAAAACUUUCAACAACGGAUCUCUUGGUUCUGGCAUCGAUGAAGAACGCAGCGAAAUGCGAUAAGUAAUGUGAAUUGCAGAAUUCAGUGAAUCAUCGAAUCUUUGAACGCACAUUGCGCCCGCCAGUAUUCUGGCGGGCAUGCCUGUCCGAGCGUCAUUUCAACCCUCGAACCCCUCCGGGGGAUCGGCGUUGGGGAUCGGGACCCCUCACACGGGUGCCGGCCCCUAAAUACAGUGGCGGUCUCGCCGCAGCCUCUCCUGCGCAGUAGUUUGCACAACUCGCACCGGGAGCGCGGCGCGUCCACGUCCGUAAAACACCCAACUUUCUGAAAUGUUGACCUCGGAUCAGGUAGGAAUACCCGCUGAACUUAAGCAUAUCA
rnacentral:rRNA from 1 species